GUCUCUUCACUUUGGUAGCACGAAUACUAACAUCGACACAAUACAGAGAAGAUUAGCAUUACCUCUCUGCAAGGAUGACACGCAAAUUCAUGAAGCUUUCAAUAUUUUU